AUUGAACGCUGGCGGCAGGCCUAACACAUGCAAGUCGAGCGGAUGAAGGGAGCUUGCUCCUGGAUUCAGCGGCGGACGGGUGAGUAAUGCCUAGGAAUCUGCCUGGUAGUGGGGGAUAACGUCUGGAAACGGGCGCUAAUACCGCAUACGUCCUGAGGGAGAAAGUGGGGGAUCUUCGGACCUCACGCUAUCAGAUGAGCCUAGGUCGGAUUAGCUAGUUGGUGGGGUAAAGGCCUACCAAGGCGACGAUCCGUAACUGGUCUGAGAGGAUGAUCAGUCACACUGGAACUGAGACACGGUCCAGACUCCUACGGGAGGCAGCAGUGGGGAAUAUUGGACAAUGGGCGAAAGCCUGAUCCAGCCAUGCCGCGUGUGUGAAGAAGGUCUUCGGAUUGUAAAGUACUUUAAGUUGGGAGGAAGGGCAGUAAGUUAAUACCUUGCUGUUUUGACGUUACCAACAGAAUAAGCACCGGCUAACUUCGUG
rnacentral:rRNA from 1 species